rnacentral:rRNA from 1 species
UACGAAGGGGGCUAGCGUUGUUCGGAAUUACUGGGCGUAAAGCGCACGCAGGCGGUCCGUUAAAUUAGAAGUGAAAGCCCUGGGCUCAACCCGGGAAUUGCUUUUGAAACUGGCGGACUUGAAUUCGAGAGAGGGUAGUGGAAUUCCCAGUGUAGAGGUGAAAUUCGUAGAUAUUGGGAAGAACACCGGUGGCGAAGGCGGCUACCUGGCUCGACAUUGACGCUCAUGUGCGAAAGCGUGGGGAUCGAACAGG